UACGUAGGGUGCGAGCGUUGUCCGGAUUUAUUGGGCGUAAAGGGCUCGUAGGCGGCUUGUCGCGUCGGGAGUGAAAGCCCAGUGCUUAACGGUGGGUCUGCUUUCGGUACGGGCGGGCUAGAGUAUGGCAGGGGAGACUGGAAUUCCUGGUGUAGCGGUGGAAUGCGCAGAUAUCAGGAGGAACACCGGUGGCGAAGGCGGGUCUCUGGGCCAUUACUGACGCUGAGGAGCGAAAGCGUGGGGAGCGAACAGG
rnacentral:rRNA from 1 species